UACAGAGGUCUCAAGCGUUUGUUCGGAUUCAUUGGGCGUAAAGGGUGCGUAGGUGGCGGGGUAAGUCUGGUGUGAAAUCUCGGGAGCUCAACUCCGAAACUGCACUGGAUACUGCCUUGCUCGAGUACUGGAGAGGAGAUUGGAAUUUACGGUGUAGCAGUGAAAUGCGUAGAUAUCGUAAGGAAGACCAGUGGCGAAGGCGAAUCUCUGGACAGUUACUGACACUGAGGCACGAAGGCCAGGGGAGCAAACGGA
rnacentral:rRNA from 1 species